GCAGCCGCGGUAAUACGUAGGGGGCAAGCGUUGUCCGGAAUGAUUGGGCGUAAAGGGCGCGUAGGCGGCCUGUUAAGUCUGGAGUGAAAGUCCUGCCUUCAAGGUGGGAAUUGCUUUGGAUACUGAUGGGCUUGAGUGCAGGAGAGGUUAGUGGAAUUCCCAGUGUAGCGGUGAAAUGCGUAGAGAUUGGGAGGAACACCAGUGGCGAAGGCGACUAACUGGACUGUAACUGACGCUGAGGCGCGAAAGUGUGGGGAGCAAACAGGAUUAGAUACCCC
rnacentral:rRNA from 1 species